rnacentral:lncRNA from 1 species
ACGUCCAGACUAUGGUAAGAGACAGGGAGGAAGGAUACGUCCAGACUAUGGUAAGAGACAGGGAGGGGAGGAAGGAUACGUCCCAGACUAUGGUAAGAGACAGGAGGAAGGAUACGUCUAGACUAGGGUAAGAGACAGGGAGGGAAGGAAGGAUACGUCCCAGACAUGGUAAGAGACGGAAGGGGAGGAAGGAUACGUCCCAGACUAUGGGGAGAGACGGGAGGAAGGAUACGUCCCAGACUAUGGUAAGAGACAGGGAGGGGAGGAAGGAUACGUCCCAGACUAUGGUAAGAGACAGGGAAGGGAGGAAGGAUACGUCCCAGACUAUGGUAAGAGACAGGGAGGAAGGAUACGUCCCAGACUAUGGUAAGAGACAGGGAGAAAGGAUACGUCCCAGACUAUGGUAAGAGACAGGGAGAAGGAUACGUCCAGACUAUGGUAAGAGACAGGGAGGAAGGAUACAGUCCCAGACUAUGGUAAGAGACAGGGAGGAAGGAUACUCCCAGACUAUGGUAAGAGACAGGGAAGGGAGGAUACAUCCCAGACUAUGGUAAGAGACAGGGAAGGGAGGAAGGAUACGUCCCAGACUAUGGUAAGAGACAGGGAGAAGGAUACAUCCCAGACUAUGGUAAGAGACCGGAGGGGAGGAAGGAAUCCCAACAUGGUAGAGACGGAAUAGUCCCAGACUAUGGUAGAGACAGGGAGGAAGGAUAUGUCCCAGACUAUGGUAAGAGACAGGGAGGAGGAUAUCUCCCAGACUAUGGUAAGAGACAGGGAGGAAGGAUAUGUCCCCAGACUAUGGUAAGAGACAGGGAGGAAGGAUACGUCCCAGACUAUGACCAUGAUCCCAGAGCAGUCUCCCCCUCCUCCUAUCUCUACCCAGAGGAGCCGGGUGUGGCUGCAGUAGAUAAAACACGCUCUCUGCCAACGAAGAGCGGAAGGGUGGAUAGAGGAGGAGGACAGAGGGAGAGGGAGAAGAGGAGGCAGAGGAAGGGAGGUAGUCUGGGGGAAAGGAGUAGCAGAGGAGGAGGAGGAGGACGAGGUACUCCUGACACAGACCUGGAUUGUCCCGAGGAGGAGGAGGACAAGGAGGAGGAGAGUCAGGUCAUCAGCCACAGAGGUCAGAAGUCAGAGGAUAAGGACAAUGGAAAAUGUACCCAGAGUUUUCCCAAGAACGUACUAAGGAACUCAGACAGACAGGAGGAGGUAGUGGAGACAGUGCCGGAGGUGAGGCACAGCAGGGUCAAACAGAGGUCAAAACAGUUGAGGAGCAGGACAACACAAAGUGAGAGGAGAGAGGAAAUAGAGGAGCUGGACAUACACAUACCUCACUCAGCCAGUAAAACACAGGAGAAGGUGGGAGGGAGGGAAAGUGGGAGGAGGAAGAGGGAUGGACAAAGGGAGAAAGAGAGGGAGAGGAAGGCUGAGAUGAAGGUAAAGACAAGGGCUGCCGGACUUGUGGUGGAGGAUUCUGGGCCGGAAAAAAGGGACAGACCCCCAGAGAAAGAGAGAGAGCGAGCUCCCUUCUCCUUCCUCAUGCCACUGCAGGAUGGAGACGCUGAACUGUCUAAUGCAGAGUCAGGGGCCUCAGGAGCCUCCGGGGCCAGCUUCUCUGACCAGGUCAGUGUGUCUGCUGCCAGUGUCUCUGGAUCCACCGCCGGGGCCCCACCUGGGUGGGGAGAACCCAGAGAACUGAGAGGGGACCCAGGAAGCACCCAGUCAUGGUGUCGGGCCACCCAUCCAUCCCACAACCCGGGCCCCUGGAGAAGUACACAGUCACGGGGGCCCACCUACGCCGGCCCCGGCCCCUGGAUUAAACCCAGCCAGCAGAAACUGACUCAGGUGUUGGUGGGACACAGGCUGAGAGGAGGUCUUGACCUGUAGAUGAGAGGAAGAGAUGGACAACUGACUGUUCCUGUGGUGCUGAUUAACAGAAGGAGUGUCGUGGUCUUUCUGAUAACUUCCCCAAAAGCAGAAAUUCUGGUUGGAGGAUUCCCAGAUUUCCUGCUUAUUCCCUCAUAAUUCCAGGGAUCCUCCAAACAGAAUUUUUGGGCAAGUUACCAGAAUUUUGCAACCCUAGGUUUGACUGGCAGGUCCUCCAACCUAUCGUGGUCCUGACUGGUUUGACUGGCAGCUCCUCCAACCUAUCGUGGUCCUGACUGGUUUGACUGGCAGCUCCUCCAACCUAU